AGUGCCCAGCUACUCCGAACGGUGGAGCCACUAAAUGGGCCUGUUAAGGCUGAAACGGAUUCUACGGGUUUGAAUUUGUUAAUUCGUUCAAUGAAUGUUCUUAAAUGAUCCAUUGGCGAAAUCCUGUUAAUUGAGGGUAAAAUACAGUCCAGUGCUCGAAUGCUGUGUGAUCUCGGGCAAGUUAGACAGCCUGUCGGAAACAAGCUGAGAGUGAAGAUCAUUAAUUACACUAGCUACUGAACUCCAAGAAUGAAGAAAACAGUGAUCCUGCUCUCGAGGAGACUGCAGCUUAGCGAGAGAGACUGACUAGAAGAUCAUUUGAGGAAAGCGGGAAGGAGAUGGAUUAAAAAACAACCUGGUGCCUGCGGAGCUAAGUCCUGACACUGGUGGCUUGACCUUGACCAGAUCUCUGCUUCGCGUCUGCUUGUUUGUAAGAAGGUGGAAGAAGUGACUCAGAACAAGGGAGACCUCAGAUCUCUCCCAGCUCUAAUUUUUCAGAAACACUUAAGCUUUUUUUCUUCCUUCAUUGAACGCGUGCUUUCUCGUCUUUGGAAUGCCCUCUGUUCGUAAAUGUUUCACCUCAUCCAAAUAGUCGUCCAGUAUUUCUUGGAAAGUGUUUUCUCUGAACUGGGGCACUUGUCUCACUUUUGUGACAGGGCAUGUCUUCUGACUCCCUUUAAUGAUAGCCCUUAUUUUAAACUCCGAGGAGCUCUACAAACUAGAUCAAGCUUCAGACAGCUACAGUGAUUUCCUUCACACCAUUGAACUGGGGAAAUAAAAACACUAAAUGUGGGCUGGACUCAAGAAACAAUAAGGGAAGUGGAGCCCUGGAGCUGCAGGCUUGGGACCUGCCAGGCAGAGACAGGACCUUUAUCUACACCCUGAUGGAGAGAUUGCCAGACUGUAACCUUCAGUCCUUGAUUGUCUGCUGAGCAGUCACCCAAGAGAGAAACUACAUUUCUUUAAUACCACCCUCCAUCCUGCUGAGGCUCCCUCUGGCCAAGUGGAUUGGAAGCCAGAUGGCCUUCACACUUAUGAUGGGGGUAGAGAAAGCCCAGCGUCUGGAACCCAAUGGAGUAAAUACUUUUCACAGGCAUCAUGUGGAUCAUUCAAAUAGACCAACAUCUGAAAUUUAAAAAAAAAUUUAACUUGUUUUAUGGACAACUAGUUAAUACUAAUAAAUUCCUGAAUGAAUACUC
rnacentral:lncRNA from 1 species